UGGAGAAGGGGAGCACGUGCAAGUUCACUUGGCACGAGGGAGCAAGUCUUUUGCACGUGCCCUGCUUCUCCAAC
rfam:Nelumbo nucifera unplaced genomic scaffold scaffold00023, whole genome shotgun sequence